rnacentral:rRNA from 1 species
GACAGAGGUGCCGAGCGUUAGGCGGAAUCACUGGGCUUAAAGCGUGUGUAGGCGGACUUCUAAGUACCUUGUGAAAUCCCACGGCUCAACCGUGGAACUGCUUGGUAUACUGGUCGUCUUGAGCCAUCUAGGGGCUGUCGGAACAAAUGGUGGAGCGGUGAAAUGCGUAGAUAUCAUUUGGAACGCCAAAGGUGAAAACAGACAGCUGGGGAUGUGCUGACGCUGAGACACGAAAGCCAGGGGGAGCGAACGGG